UACGGAGGGGGCUAGCGUUGUUCGGAAUUACUGGGCGUAAAGCGCACGUAGGCGGCUUUGUAAGUUAGAGGUGAAAGCCUGGGGCUCAACUCCAGAAUAGCCUUUAAGACUGCAUCGCUUGAACGUCGGAGAGGUGAGUGGAAUUCCUGGUGUAGCGGUGAAAUGCGCAGAUAUCAGGAGGAACACCGAUGGCGAAGGCAGCUCACUGGGACGGUACUGACGCUGAGGCGCGAAAGCGUGGGGAGCAAACAGG
rnacentral:rRNA from 1 species